rnacentral:rRNA from 1 species
UACAGAGGGUUCAAGCGUUAAUCGGAAUUACUGGGCGUAAAGGGCGCGUAGGCGGUUAUAUAAGUGAGAUGUGAAAACCCUGGGCUUAACCUAGGAACGUCAUCUUAUACUGUAUGACUAGAGUACUGUAGAGGGUAGUGGAAUUUCCGGUGUAGCGGUGAAAUGCGUAGAGAUCGGAAGGAACACCAGUGGCGAAGGCGGCUACCUGGGCAGAUACUGACGCUGAGGCGCGUAAGCGUGGGGAGCAAACAGG